UAUCUGGUUGAUCCUGCCAGUAGUCAUAUGCUUGUCUCAAAGAUUAAGCCAUGCAUGUCUAAGUAUAAGCAAUUUAUACAGUGAAACUGCGAAUGGCUCAUUAAAUCAGUUAUCGUUUAUUUGAUAGUUUCUUUACUACAUGGAAUACCUGUGGUAAUUCUAGAGCUAAUACAUGCUUAAAAUCCCAACUUACGAAGGGAUGUAUUUAUUAGAUAAAAAAUCAAUGUCUUCGGACUUCUGAUGAUUCAUAAUAACUUUUCGAAUCGCAUGGCUUUAUGCUGGCGAUGGUUCAUUCAAAUUUCUGCCCUAUCAACUUUUGAUGGUAGGAUAGUGGCCUACCAUGGUUUCAACGGGUAACGGGGAAUAAGGGUUCGAUUCCGGAGAGGGAGCCUGAGAAACGGCUACCACAUCCAAGGAAGGCAGCAGGCGCGCAAAUUACCCAAUCCUAAUUCAGGGAGGUAGUGACAAUAAAUAACGAUACAGGGCUUUAUGUCUUGUAAUUGGAAUGAGUACAAUUUAAAUACCUUAACGAGGAACAAUUGGAGGGCAAGUCUGGUGCCAGCAGCCGCGGUAAUUCCAGCUCCAAUAGCGUAUAUUAAAGUUGUUGCAGUUAAAAAGCUCGUAGUUGAACUUUGGGCUUGGAGAAUCGGUCCAACUUUGUUGUGUACUGUCUUCUCCAGGUCUUUCCUUCUGGUUCUCAUUUGGGGUUUACUCCAUUUGUUGAUCCAGGAUUUUUACUUUGAAAAAAUUAGAGUGUUCAAAGCAGGCGUUUUGCUCGAAUAUAUUAGCAUGGAAUAAUAGAAUAGGACGAUUGGUUCUAUUUUGUUGGUUUCUAGGACCAUCGUAAUGAUUAAUAGGGACGGUCGGGGGCAUCAGUAUUCAGUUGUCAGAGGUGAAAUUCUUGGAUUUACUGAAGACUAACUACUGCGAAAGCAUUUGUCAAGGACGUUUUCAUUAAUCAAGAACGAAAGUUAGGGGAUCGAAGAUGAUCAGAUACCGUCGUAGUCUUAACC
rnacentral:ncRNA from 1 species